CAGAUUCCUUGCUUGGGUAACUCAGCUGACUUCAGAGAGGCUUUGGGCCCAAGGUAGGCUGGAUAAUGGCACCUCUUCAUCCUCUUUGUUCAGUUGGACAAAGGAAAAUGAUUGUGAUGGUUACAUCCACCUGAUCCUGAUGGAGGGUCCCAGCUCAAAGCACCAGAGAAAGAGGACCUGCUGCCUCGCCACCACACUUACCUUAAAAUCCUACAGUGCCAUCGGUACAGUUCCUUCCUGACCCCUGAUCUGCUCAUCUUUAGAGUGAACCCUAGGGGACCAGAUGUGUCUGUUGUCUGGCUUCCUGGGCCCAGAAAAUGACCGGACAUUUCGUAAAUUAGCAACUGAUGGCCGGGGGACCUACCUUCUGCAAGAAGCCAGUUGGCUACGAGUUGGAGAACAAAGAGAGAGGUGGAGGCCAGGUGACCAGUUUUGCUCGGGAAACACAAUAAAGGAUGGAGAAGGGGCAAUAGGGUGUGACUGAAGGUGGGCAUUGGAAACAGGACACUCUAUUGGAUUGGGUCUUGGAAGGUGCCGUGGUGGGGGGUUGGGGAAGUCAG